UCCUUGAGUGGCUUGUCUGCCUCUUGUUGC
rnacentral:piRNA from 1 species